rnacentral:rRNA from 1 species
GAUGAACGCUGGCGGCGUGCCUAAUACAUGCAAGUCGAGCGAACGGACGAGAAGCUUGCUUCUCUGAUGUUAGCGGCGGACGGGUGUGUAACACGUGGAUAACCUACCUAUAAGACUGGGAUAACUUCGGGAAACCGGAGCUAAUACCGGAUAAUAUUUUGAACCGCAUGGUUCAAUAGUGAAAGACGGUCUUGCUGUCACUUAUAGAUGGAUCCGCGCUGCAUUAGCUAGUUGGUAAGGUAACGGCUUACCAAGGCUACGAUGCAUAGCCGACGUGAGAGAGUGAUCGGCCACACUGGAAGGUAGACGCGGUCCAGACGCCUGCGGGAGGCAGCAGUAGGGAAUCGGCCGCAAUGGGCGAAAGCCUGACGGAACAACGCCGCGUGAGUGAUAAAGGUCUUCGGAUCGUAAAACUCUGUUAUUAGGGAAGAACAUAUGUGUAAGUAACUGUGCACAGCUUGACGGUACCUAAUCAGAAAGCCACGGCUAACUACGUG